CCGCUUCCCAACCCUCCUCUUCCUCCUUGCUGGUUUACCAAGCUGCUUGCAGAAGGGGUGGGCAGCAAACCUGUCCCAGCAUCACCCUGACACCACCUACAGCCCCAGUGCACCGAGCUGCUCAUCCACGGUGCAUCCCCGUGGGGACCAGCUCUUGCACCCUUGGUGGCAUACAGCACCAAGCAUCUCCCUGCUCCCAGCAGUGGUCAGACACCCCAGCUCUCUGGAAGCAGACCCAGUGAGGAGCCAAGCACCCAGGCUGCAAAGUCCUCUGCUAACCCAGAUUCAUCUGAAGGGCUCAGGAGCAUUGCCCCCGGAGCAAGAGAUGAGACCCUGAGGCACUGUGCAGCAGUGGGGAAACCAUCUCCAAACUCAGUGGUGAUCAAUGCGAUGUGCACUGGCAGAACCACUCCGUGUGCAGGGAGGUGAUGCUCCACCACCAGUUCAUCUGGCUCCAACCUCUCCCUCCCAGGGCUGCAUGUAAAGAACUGACCAUGGCCCGCUUCAGGCCCAGGACACACUGCACCAAGCAGGUCUCAAGCCCAGCUUCAGAGCUUACGAGGGAGGCAAGCUGUCACUGUCACACGCACCUCUCCGAGCGAGAGCUGCACGGGCGAUUCUGGGAGGGGUUUCCAUCUGCCUGAGCGAAAAGCAGGAUGUAAGAGGGCAAGGCGGUGAAGCUGACUCUCCGUGCCCCGUAAGCGGGCUGGGGGACGGCACCUGUGGGCACAGCGGCAGCCUUGCACGGCCGCUUGCUCCGUUGGCACUGGGCCCAGUGCAGGCAGGAGCUGGUGAUGCCAGCGGGUGAGUAAUUGCUGAGCGCUGACUCAGCGCAGGCUGGGCUGCAGCCGGCUCACCCCGAUCUGCCGGAGAGGCUCACGGUGGAGCUCCCAGCUCAAACAUGGCAUUUCCCCUUGGCUGAGCCCCAGAGAACGCUCAGGCCAGCCAGCAGCCCAUGGGCAUUUCCAGCCAGCCUGGGCUCAUUCCCCAGUCCCAGCAUCGCCCUAGAGAUGCCACCAGGACAACGAAUCCUUCCAACCAGGACGUCUCCAACAAGCACACUCCUGACCCACGCCGUGCUGCUGUGGGCACACGACGCCCGUCACCACGUCCCAAGCACCAGGCUCAGUGUCCACCUUCCUCCAACAAACCGGUGCCACAUCCCACGUGGUGCCACUGUGCAGGAGCUUGCAUACCAGGAGAUGGGACUGCAGCCAACAGCUCUGCAAGGACCCCAGAUACCUGAGGUUCCCAUGCCUCAUUUUCCCUGAGCCGCUUCUGCUCAAGCCACCACCAUCGGUGAGUGCAAACCCAACAAACAAUACCUGCUCACUUCUUUUUGU